rnacentral:rRNA from 1 species
UGGGGAAUAUUGCACAAUGGGCGCAAGCCUGAUGCAGCGACGCCGCGUGAGGGAUGACGGCCUUCGGGUUGUAAACCUCUGUUAGCAGGGAAGAAGAGAGAUUGACGGUACCUGCAGAGAAAGCGCCGGCUAACUACGUGCCAGCAGCCGCGGUAAUACGUAGGGCGCGAGCGUUGUCCGGAAUUAUUGGGCGUAAAGAGCUUGUAGGCGGUUUGUCGCGUCUGCUGUGAAAGGCCGGGGCUUAACUCCGUGUAUUGCAGUGGGUACGGGCAGACUAGAGUGCAGUAGGGGAGACUGGAAUUCCUGGUGUAGCGGUGGAAUGCGCAGAUAUCAGGAGGAACACCGAUGGCGAAGGCAGGUCUCUGGGCUGUAACUGACGCUGAGAAGCGAAAGCAUGGGGAGCGAACA